rnacentral:rRNA from 1 species
UACGUAGGGGGCAAGCGUUGUCCGGAAUCAUUGGGCGUAAAGCGCGUGUAGGCGGUUCGGUAAGUCGGCUGUGAAAGUCCAGGGCUCAACCCUGGGAUGCCGGUCGAUACUGCCGGACUAGAGUUCGGAAGAGGCGAGUGGAAUUCCCGGUGUAGCGGUGAAAUGCGCAGAUAUCGGGAGGAACACCAAUGGCGAAGGCAGCUCGCUGGGACGUUACUGACGCUGAGACGCGAAAAGCGUGGGGGAGCAAACAGGG